AUUGAACGCUGGCGGCAGGCCUAACACAUGCAAGUCGAACGGUAGCACAGAGAGCUUGCUCUCGGGUGACGAGUGGCGGACGGGUGAGUAAUGUCUGGGAAACUGCCCGAUGGAGGGGGAUAACUACUGGAAACGGUAGCUAAUACCGCAUAACGUCGCAAGACCAAAGUGGGGGACCUUCGGGCCUCACACCAUCGGAUGUGCCCAGAUGGGAUUAGUCAGUAGGUGGGGUAAUGGCUCACCUAGGCGACGAUCCCUAGCUGGUCUGAGAGGAUGACCAGCCACACUGGAACUGAGACACGGUCCAGACUCCUACGGGAGGCAGCAGUGGGGAAUAUUGCACAAUGGGCGCAAGCCUGAUGCAGCCAUGCCGCGUGUAUGAAGAAGGCCUUCGGGUUGUAAAGUACUUUCAGCGGGGAGGAAGGCGGUGAAGUUAAUAACUUCACCGAUUGACGUUACCCGCAGAAGAAGCACCGGCUAACUCCGUGCCAGCCGCCGCCGUAA
rnacentral:rRNA from 1 species